rnacentral:rRNA from 1 species
CAGCAGCCACGGGAAUGCAGAGGAUGCAAGCGUUAUCCGGAAUGAUUGGCGUAAAGCGUCUGUAGGUGGCUUUCCAAGUCCGCCGUCAAAUCCCAGGGCUCAACCCUGGACAGGCGGUGGAAACUACCAAGCUGGAGUACGGUAGGGGCAGAGGGAAUUUCCAGUGGAGCGGUGAAAUGCGUUGAGAUCGAAAAGAUCACCAACAGCGAAAGCACUCUGCUGGGACGACACUGACACUAAGAGACGAAAGCUAGGGGAGCAAAUGGGAUUAGAUACCCGAGUAGUCCCUGUCUCUUAUACC